GCUUACCAGCUAGCCCCACUAACCAAACUCAACAAACACAUAUAAAUAAACCCAAAAGCACUUACGAUUCAACCAAACAAAACAUUUUUCCUCCUUAGUAUGGGAGACAGAAAAGGACAUCAAAGGGCGCAAUAGAAAAAGUACCGCAAGGGGAAAGCUGACAGAGAGAUGAAAUAGACCAGUGAAGCCUAAAAAAGCAGAGAUUACCUCUCGUACCUUUUGCAUC
rnacentral:rRNA from 1 species